CCAUGAUGUCUGCAAUUUUAUUACGUUAAAAAAAAUAAAAAUUCCCGACAAAUAAAAAAAGAAGAAAAAUCUAUAAAACCGAAAUUAUCGGCGCUUUGCUUCUCGAACAAGCCGCCGUGAGUACCCCCGUAAUCUACUGGGGCCCAAAUUUUCCUUCCGACAUUUUAUUUUACUAAUUAUGGAAUUAUUUUCGUCUGAUAAUUUGCCUAAUUUUGAAUUUAAAAUGCCACGUCACCAACACAUGAAAACAUCAUUGCUCUGUCGGUACUCAAGUAGAGCCACAAAUUUCAAGGCCAAUACCGUCAUUUAACUUAUACCCCUAAAUUGUUUGUAGAUCCAUGAUUUGGACAAAAUAUUAGGUAGGAGCAUAAUUUAUAAUUGUCUUCGUACAGUCCCUACAGGCUACAGUCAACUUACAUUAAUAAAAUUAAAUGAUUUAAUAACAUUAACAAAAUUAAAUGAUUUAACUGCCUUGUCUAUGAAAUCAACUAAUUUGGGUACUUAUUCUAUUUGUUUUAGACUUAUAAAGGAU
rnacentral:lncRNA from 1 species